AUUGAACGCUGGCGGCAUGCCUUACACAUGCAAGUCGAACGGCAGCACGGGGCAACCUGGUGGCGAGUGGCGAACGGGUGAGUAAUGCAUCGGAACGUACCUUUCAGUGGGGGAUAACGUAGCGAAAGUUACGCUAAUACCGCAUAUUCUGUGAGCAGGAAAGCAGGGGAUCGCAAGACCUUGCGCUGAUUGAGCGGCCGAUGUCAGAUUAGCUAGUUGGUGAGGUAAAGGCUCACCAAGGCGACGAUCUGUAGCGGGUCUGAGAGGAUGAUCCGCCACACUGAAACUGAGACACGGUCCAGACUCCUACGGGAGGCAGCAGUGGGGAAUUUUGGACAAUGGGGCAACCCUGAUCCAGCCAUGCCGCGUGAGUGAAGAAGGCCUUCGGGUUGUAAAGCUCUUUCGGCCGGGAAGAAAUCGCACGGGCUAAUACCCUGUGUGGAUGACGGUACCGGAAUAAGAAGCAUCGGCUAACUACGUGCCAGCCGCCGCCGUAAAAC
rnacentral:rRNA from 1 species